CGGCAUUCGACAAUACAUUUAAAUUUCUGAACAGGAGACCUGUCACGUGUUCCUGGGCUUAAUCCUCUAGAUCUCCAUCUUGAACUGUUCACCCAGAGAAAUAUAGAUAGUAAACGUUUGGCUGUAGUUGUAAAAGAAGAAGACCCUCAGAACGGUGGGCUUUAAACAGUUUAUCUAAAUCUCAAAUCUCACAAAAUACAAUAUACAUGGUAAACUUUGUAUCUACCAUUUAAAAAACUGUGAUAUUUAAUAAAUACCAUGAUUAUAUAUUUUCAGAAGAGAAUGUUCAAAUUGUUGUGAUAAAAGAAACUUAGAUAGUUUAAAAAUGGCAAGUUUAUGUGUAGCUUAUUUUUUCUGGUUGUUUGGUGGAUUUUUGGGUCUUCAUCAUUUUUAUCUUGGAAGAGAUAAACAAGCUUUUCUUUGGUGGUGCUUUCCAGGAGGAUAUUUUGGUGCUGGUUGGAUCCGAGAUCUAUGGAGAAUACCAGAAUAUGUUGCAGACUGUAAUAAUGAGCCAUCACAUGUCAG